rnacentral:rRNA from 1 species
GUGGCCCGUUUGCUCGCCUCGGCUUCCUCUGCGGUCUCGCUCAACGGCUCGAUAGGCCCUGGCAUCCUCCACCUCCGCGGAUUGCGCCAGGGCGACCCGCUCUCCCCCUUCCUGUUCAUUCUGGCCAUCGACCCGCUGCAUCAUCUCAUAGAAGCGGCAGUAGAGCAGCAGCUGCUGCAUCAUCUACCUGGCCGU